rnacentral:rRNA from 1 species
CUCUAGCUGGACAGUUUUAAAUGCAAUUCCCAGGUUGAGCCCGGGGCUUUCACAUCUGACUUAUCCAACCGCCUGCGUGCGCUUUACGCCCAGUAAUUCCGAUUAACGCUUGCACCCUCCGUAUUACCGCGGCUGCUGGCACGGAGUUAGCCGGUGCUUCUUCUGCGAGUAACGUCACA